UACGUAGGGGGCAAGCGUUGUCCGGAAUCAUUGGGCGUAAAGAGCGUGUAGGCGGUCCUGUAAGUCCGCUGUGAAAGUCAAGGGCUCAACCCUUGAAUGCCGGUGGAUACUGCAGGACUAGAGUCCGGAAGAGGCGAGUGGAAUUCCUGGUGUAGCGGUGAAAUGCGCAGAGUAUCAGGAGGAACACCAACGGCGAAGGCAGCUCGCUGGGACGGUACUGACGCUGAGGCGCGAAAGCGUGGGGAGCGAACAGGA
rnacentral:rRNA from 1 species